UACAGAGGUCUCAAGCGUUGUUCGGAUUCAUUGGGCGUAAAGGGCGCGUAGGCGGCGGGGUAAGUCUGGUGUGAAAUCUCGGAGCUCAACUCCGAAAUUGCACUGGAUACUGCUCUGCUUGAGGGUUGGAGAGGAGAUCGGAAUUCACGGUGUAGCAGUGAAAUGCGUAGAUAUCGUGAGGAAGACCAGUGACGAAGGCGGAUCUCUGGACAAAUCCUGACGCUGAGGCGCGAAGGCUAGGGGAGCAAACGGG
rnacentral:rRNA from 1 species